AAUAAUAAGACUCCAUCUCAAAAGAACGGAAUCUCAGGCCAUCAAGAUGUCUCUGCAGGUAAAAGCACUUGCCAUGUAAACUUGACCAUGUAAACCCAAUCCAUGGAUCCUACCUAUAGUGGAAGGAAAAAACUGACUCCCAAGAGUUGUCCUCUGAUCCUCUACACACACACACACACACACACACACACACACACACACACACACACCAUAAAUAAAAAUUAGAAUGAAUCCCCACCCUUUCUCCAUCCUAGACUUGCUAUAUGUGACCCUGGCCAUGCCCUGGAACUUCUGCCUGUCCUUCUCGAGCUGCUUUACCUACUGAAAAGACAAUUGCGAGCACAGUGGAUUCAUGAUUGUGGAACACUUUGAAACCCAAAUAUAAAUUUCAAAACCAACUGACUUGGCUUGAGGCUGUAAGCUGCAUUUUAAAAGUACUAUGUAAACAAUAUAGCCAUGCACAUGGAGAGUUAUAGGGCAUUGCUGAACUACUGCUGAAUUAUGAAUCAGAGAGACCUCCAGGGAGCUAGGCUGUCAACACAGGGAAGCAGAACCCAGAGGAAAACUAGAGAAACUGGAAAUUUAAUUGUAAAUCUCUGAAUCCUCACCUGGGCAUGACUUGUGGCUCACAAUAUACACACAGUUUCAGAUAGAUAGUAAAUAUAAUUAGACUGGAUUAUAAAUUAGACACACACACACACACACACACACACACACACACACACACACACACACCAUAAAAGGUAUUUUCUAGCCUGGAGACCCUGUGCCUCAAUAUUACAGUCACUCUCCAUGAUAAAUGUCAGGAAUUUUCAAAGAAUUUUUUUUCACCACAGCGUUUUUAUUUUCUCUCUCUCAUGUAGAAUAGUCUACAAAACCUCUGUCAAUAAAACAGAGAAGCGACAUCCAAAAGCCGAGUAAAGACUGGAAGAAGGUAAUAAAGAUAGAAGUGUGCACAGGUGUGUUCACACCUAACACCCGCUCACACAUUUCUGUUCCAGAUGAAAAUGUGCUGUGGGAACACAUCUGCUAAGAGUUUGCCCCAUUUCCCAGGCUCGGAUGACUUCUAGUACACAAGUGCUGGCUUCUGAGAUGGCUGUGAAGGUGUGGAAGUUCCUCUCGAGGAGGCCAAGAAACUGUUCUUGAUGUUGCCAAUUCUCAGUUUUGCUUUGCCAGGUUCUUUUUGGUUUUUAAGCCCAUGGUGACUGUGGAGGUUAGCGCUGAGGAAAGCUGGGCUAAGUAUUCUUCCUGUGAGUCAGUUAGGACUCCAUCCCUGUGAAACAACGCGAAACUUCACUCUCUAAAAGCAACAGCAUGUAAACUAGAAUGAAAGAAGGAAAUUAUGUAUGUAUGACUAUUAUUCUUUUGUGAAUGUCCUUCAUUUACCUCCUAAAGUUAUAUUAGAAACAGAUUGAUAAAUAAAAGAUUCAAAAUAGUUUUAAUUAUCCU
rnacentral:lncRNA from 1 species